CAUACAGCCCCCCGGAAUGGACCCGCUUUGGCUGGUACCAUGGCGAGCCAGCUACCAUCUGGUCCCUGGGCAUCCUGCUGCACCAGAUGGUCUGUGGGAAGAUGCCUUUCAGGAGGGGCUGGAACUUCAGCUGGGGCCAGCUCUCGCUGCCACAACGGCUCUCUCCAGAGUGCCAAAAUCUGAUUGGGUGGUGUUUAUCCAUGCACUCCUUGGCCAGACCCUCAUUAGAAGAGCUGUUCUGUCAUCCUUGGAUGCAGGAUAUUCGUCUGCCCUAGAAGAAGGGAGAGAGCCACAGGCACACUUUGAUCCAGGGCCCUGGGAAGGAGAAGGAGCCCCCAGAGAAGCUGUACCGGGUGGGGCUGCUGCUGCAGGAGACAGUGAGGAUGACAUCAAGGAUGACAACCUCUUCCUCAACCUGGCCACCAGCAGUUGAAGAGGAAGCAUUCUAGGUGGUCCAGUCUGGAUUGGGAAGUGCUUGGGACCAGCUGCAGCGUGGAUGGGCCGUGCCCUUGGAGCAGGCUGAGGACAUCGUUUGGGACCAGCUUUU